rnacentral:rRNA from 1 species
UACAGAGGUCUCAAGCGUUGUUCGGAUUCAUUGGGCGUAAAGGGUGCGUAGGUGGCGCGGUAAGUCGGGUGUGAAAUUUCGGAGCCUAACUCCGAAACUGCAUUCGAUACUGCCGUGCUUGAGGACUGGAGAGGAGACUGGAAUUUACGGUGUAGCAGUGAAAUGCGUAGAUAUCGUAAGGAAGACCAGUGGCGAAGGCGGGUCUCGUGGACAGUU